rnacentral:rRNA from 1 species
GUAGGGUGCGAGCGUUAAUCGGAAUUACUGGGCGUAAAGCGUGCGCAGGCGGUUUUGUAAGUCAGAUGUGAAAUCCCCGGGCUCAACCUGGGAACUGCAUUUGAGACUGCAAGGCUAGAGUGUGGCAGAGGGGGGUGGAAUUCCACGUGUAGCAGUGAAAUGCGUAGAGAUGUGGAGGAACACCGAUGGCGAAGGCAGCCCCCUGGGCCAAUACUGACGCUCAUGCACGAAAGCGUGGGGAGCAAACAGGAUUAGAUACCCUGGUAGUCCACGCCCUAAACGAUGUCAACUAGGUGUUGGAAGGGUUAAACCUUUUAGUGCCGCAGCUAACGCGUGAAGUUGACCGCCUGGGGAGUACGGCCGCAAGGCUA